UACAGAGGUCUCAAGCGUUGUUCGGAUUCAUUGGGCGUAAAGGGUGCGUAGGCGGGCAGGUAAGUCAGUGGUGAAAUCUCCGGGCUUAACCCGGAACUGCCGUUGAUACUAUCUGUCUUGAAUAUCGUGGAGGUAAGCGGAAUAUGUCAUGUAGCGGUGAAAUGCUUAGAUAUGACAUAGAACACCGAUUGCGAAGGCAGCUUACUACACGAUCAUUGACGCUGAGGCACGAAAGCGUGGGGAGCAAACAGG
rnacentral:rRNA from 1 species